UAAUGUUUCUAUUAGGGUUUUACAGAGUUUUAAGGUUGGGAAGACAAAGAAGAAGAAGAAGAAGAAGAAGAAAGCACAAUCAAAUUCAGUUUUCUCAAUUCACGCUUCGGAUUGUCACCCAUCUCAAAUCCAGAUUCGUUGAACUGAUUCGAUUACAUUUCGAAACCUCGAUUCCUCUCGCGAGCCUUGAUUCUAUUUUUGGCUGCCAGAGGAAAUGAUUCUCCCAUACACAACACGAUUCACAUGCCCUGUUUUAGAGAUUGGAUUCAUCGUCCCUUACCCGCUAGUUUCCGGCGUUCCCGCUUCUGCCCUUUGCAAAAGAAACGGUUUUGAGCUCACUUCUCCCAGAUAUGACUGUUCUGCCUCCUCGGUUAAUGCUAUGAGGUGUAGAAGAAAUGUGAGAGCUUUUGGGUUGGUUGAUAAACUUGGGAAGAAGUCAUGGAGAAAGAAAGAAGAAAGCGACAGUGACGAUGAUGAUGAGGAGGAUGAGGUGAAGAAAGAUACCUCCUCCGAGAAAAGAUCAUCAACUCUGGAUGAUCCAGAGGAGAGACGGGAAUGGAGGAAGAAGAUACGAGAGGUGAUUGAUAGCCACCCUGACGUCGAAGAGGAGGAGGAGAUUGACAUGGUGGAGAAGAGGAGGAAGAUGCAGAAGCUUCUUGCUGAUUACCCUCUUGUUGUCAACGAGGAGGAUCCUGAUUGGCCUGAAGAUGCUGAUGGCUGGGGGUUUAGCUUCAACCAGUUUUUUAAUAAGAUAACUAUUAAGAAUGAAAAAAAGGAUGAUGAUGAUGAUGAUGAUGAAGAUGAUGAUAGGGAGAAGGAGAUUGUUUGGCAAGAUGAUAAUUACAUACGACCGAUUAAAGAUCUCACUACUGCGGAAUGGGAGGAGGCGGUGUUCAAAGAUAUCAGUCCUCUCAUGGUUCUUGUUCACAACCGCUACAAAAGGCCAAAGGAAAAUGAAAAAUUCAGGGAAGAGCUAGAUAAGGCUAUUCAGGUCAUAUGGAACUGUGGACUUCCUUCACCAAGAUGUGUUGCUGUUGAUGCUGUGGUUGAGACAGAUCUGGUCUCUGCUCUGCAAGUUACUGUGUUCCCAGAGAUCAUCUUCACUAAAGCUGGAAAGAUAUUAUACCGUGAGAAAGGCAUUAGGACAGCAGAUGAGCUCUCAAAGAUCAUGGCCUUCUUCUAUUAUGGAGCUGCAAAGCCACCUUGUUUGAAUGGUGUUGACUAUUCCCAAGAACAGAUUCCUUCAGUCGAUCUGCAUUAGGACAGCAGAUGAGCUCUCAAAGAUCAUGGCCUUCUUCUAUUAUGGAGCUGCAAAGCCACCUUGUUUGAAUGGUGUUGACUAUUCCCAUGAACAGAUUCCUUCAGUCGAUCUUAUGAUUAAGAAUCUAGAAGGUGCCACUCAUUACCAGACAGAUACUUACGGCGGUGGAAGCACCGGAAGGGCCGUUGAAGAUGAUUCCUGUUAACAUCACACUGUAGGUAGAUCUUAGGCAGUUGAAAUGUGAAGCCAUCUAAGAAAUGCAUCCAUCAAAACCCAGUAGAUUCAGGUUGUAGUUUCUUCAUUCUCGUUCUUUGAUUCAUUGGAUAUCAGGAUAUAUAUGUAGUUGAUACUUCAACUAACUCGUUAGACAUCUGUUGUUUUGCUCGGAGUUUAUAGGUACAAUAUACAAUAUUUCUUA